rnacentral:rRNA from 1 species
GACAGAGGGUGCAAACGUUGCUCGGAAUCACUGGGCGUAAAGGGCGUGUAGGCGGGAAGGAAAGUCAGAUGUGAAAUCCCCAGGCUCAACCUGGGAACUGCAUUUGAAACUCCCUUUCUUGAGUACCGGAGAGGAAAGUGGAAUUCCUGGUGUAGAGGUGAAAUUCGUAGAUAUUGGGAAGAACACCGGUGGCGAAGGCGGCGACCUGGUCCGAUACUGACGCUGAGGAGCGAAAGCGUGGGGAGCGAACAGG